rnacentral:rRNA from 1 species
GGGGGUGCACUCGUCUACGUGGAGGGGGAAGCGAGAAACGCGGGUCAGCAUACUGCGGUGAAUACGUUCCCGGGCCUUGUACACACCGCCCGUCACACCAUGGAAGUUGGCCAUGCCCGAAGUCGUUACUCCAACCCUUGUGGAGGAGGACGCCGAAGGUGGGGCUAAUGACUGGGGUGAAGUCGUAACAAGGUAGCCGUACCGGAAGGUGCGGCUGGAUCACCUCCUAA